AUUGAACGCUGGCGGCAUGCUUUACACAUGCAAGUCGAACGGUAACAGGGAGCUUGCUCCGCUGACGAGUGGCGAACGGGUGAGUAAUGCAUCGGAACGUACCGUGUAAUGGGGGAUAACGUAGCGAAAGUUACGCUAAUACCGCAUACGCCCUGAGGGGGAAAGUGGGGGACCGCAAGGCCUCACGUUAUACGAGCGGCCGAUGUCGGAUUAGCUAGUUGGUGGGGUAAAGGCCUACCAAGGCGACGAUCCGUAGCGGGUCUGAGAGGAUGAUCCGCCACACUGGGACUGAGACACGGCCCAGACUCCUACGGGAGGCAGCAGUGGGGAAUUUUGGACAAUGGGGGCAACCCUGAUCCAGCCAUGCCGCGUGAGUGAAGAAGGCCUUCGGGUUGUAAAGCUCUUUCAGGUGGAAAGAAAUCUCCUGGGUGAAUACCCCGGGAGGAUGACGGUACCAUCAGAAGAAGCACCGGCUAACUACGUGCCAGCAGCCGCGGUAAUACGUAGGGUGCGAGCGUUAAUCGGAAUUACUGGGCGUAAAGCGUGCGCAGGCGGUUGUGUAAGACAGAUGUGAAAUCCCCGGGCUCAACCUGGGAACUGCGUUUGUGACUGCACAACUAGAGUACGGCAGAGGGAGGUGGAAUUCCGCGUGUAGCAGUGAAAUGCGUAGAGAUGCGGAGGAACACCGAUGGCGAAGGCAGCCUCCUGGGCCAGUACUGACGCUCAUGCACGAAAGCGUGGGGAGCAAACAGG
rnacentral:rRNA from 1 species